rnacentral:misc_RNA from 1 species
CGCACAUUGCGCCUUUUGGUAUUCCGAAAGGCAUGCCUGUUUGAGUGUCAUACAAACUCCCAAACCUAGUUUUUCUAGAUAUGGGCUUUGGACGCUGCCACUUGUUGGCUCGUCUUAAAUGACUAAGUGGAAUGCGUAAUAAGUUUUCGCUCCCUCCACUCUAAUAACUUUUAUGUUAGACCUCAAAUCAGGUAGGACUACCCGCUGAACUUAA